UAGUGGAGCUGGCCGCUCCCCACCUCCGAGGCUGCGAGGAGCAGAAGAGAAAGCAGCAGGCACUGGGCUCCAGGAUCUUCUCGCCAGGAGAACAACAUUAGAGGAUGAAGCAAAGCAGUAUCUGAAUACGUAAUGCACGCUGUUAUUUCUUUUGUGGAGAAAGACCUUGUGGUGGACAGCGACAUCAUGUGGCUAAACGUGUAAGUAUUAAAUAUGUAAACGUAUCUUCUUUUCCUUGUAUGUCGUUUGAACUUUCCCAAAAUUUCUAGUUUCAAUUGUAAUAUCCUUCGGUCACUCCUCAAAGUCCUUAUAUUUUAUCUAAAUAUUUCCUUAGAACUUUUAUACUAAUUCACUAUCAAUUGUGCUAAUUCAUGACAUACACUAAAAUAUUGUGAUUCCUGUUUUAACAGUGGACAUCUAUUGGAAAUAUUUCCCAUGUGACAGCCACUUUUCUAUUUGUCUUAAUGGAAUUAUCCCGUUAAAUUAUCACAAUCCUCUGAAAUAAGUUUUAAUAUUAUUCGCUUUUUAUAAACACAUAGAGGUUAAGUAAAACGAUAUUAUCUCUUGGUACGAUGGGAUUUCAAUCUGAUUCAAGACAACUUACCAUUAACCUCUUUACCACCCAAGUUACAUUUUAUAGAAAAAUCAGAUCCUUUCAGAUUUAUGAUCAUCAAAACAUUGAGAUGUUGAAGUAUUUAAAAGUGUGUGUGUGCUGUAUAUAUUAAAACAUACAUAUAUCUACUUUUAUGUUAUUACAGCAACUGUUAAUUUCUUAAAAUAUGUACAUUUAUGGUUUUUUAAAUUUGUAGAAUGUCUGUAAUUCCCUCCCAUGCCCCUUUUUCAAGAACUAUAGCCUCAUCAACUGUCUUGACUGUAACUUACAUAAAGAUUUCAGAAGUCGGUCCUUUACAGAGAAAUUCAAACAGGAAAUUUGUUUCCUAUUGUGGGAAUGUGAUUUGUAUAUUUGUUACACUCACAUCACAUCAAUUAAGAAUAUAUUAGGUUUAAUUUUUCCACACUCUUUAUGUAUUUGAAUUUACCUGUAUAUACUAAAAUGUUAACAAUAUAAAGUAAUUACGUUUUUGAUGAUCUCCACUCCUGAUGAAUUUCUAGAUUCCAGUUUUUUUAAAAGUUGUUACUUGAAAGAAUUGAUUAUUUAACUAAACAGUGAAGGGAGAAAAGUAACCUAGGAACAUAAGCCAGUAUUUACUCAACAUAUUUAACACUAAGCAAUAAAACAUUCUAAAGAUAUCUGUGAAUUCAAUGAGAAGCAUGAAUUCUCGCCGCAUUUGGAAGUGGGGCAAAGAAAAUUUAUGGAAAGAGGUCAAAUUUAGAGAAAUAAAAUAAUGUACAAAUUUUUGCUUAUACCCAGACCAUUUAAAAAUGAAAUCAAACAUGUGAUUUAAAUAUUUAGGGGAAAAGUUUUCAUUUCAGCUUUUGUUUCCUGUGUAUUCAUGAAAUGGAAGCCAGGACUGCAACUUACUCAGAUUUUAUCAUUCAUAUUUAGAAUAGGAUAAAUUAUCAAUUGUUGUUUUCAUGAAUAAAUAAAUUAAUAUUUUGAAUUAACUUUUUCAAGCAAGAUAAAUAAAAAUGUAAGUUAAUGAUAUUUGUUAAUAUCAAACUUACAUAAUUUCUAAAUGAUUAUAUUGUGCUAUAUUAUGAAGAAGUAAGUAAACAUUUAAGCAUUAUUUCUGAAAAGCAUGGACCUAAGAAAUAAUUAUAGCUAUUAAUAUUCCAGUUACCACUUUGCUGAAUUUUUAAAGAUGGUAGCUAGUUUGAAAAUAAGAGAUAAAUUUAAAAUUUUUAAACUUCAUGGACUUCAUAGUAAUGAGAUGCCUUUGACAACUUAUUGUAAUACUGCACUUUUCAGUACCUUUAAGAGUUAUACUAAUUGCAAAAUGGAAUGUCACAUGAGAAUUUAUAGCAGAGUAGACUCCAUACUGAUUAUUAAGAGAUAAAGGUAAUAUUAAAGGAACUAUGAGUUUAGAAGAUUGAGCCAUUUUGUAGAUAAAGUAUCAGUGAAUAAUUUCUACUACCACCUAGAUGUCACUUAGACAACCAAGAAAAAAUGUAAAUAAGAAUGUUUUGAAAAAACUUAUAGAGCAACAGAUUGUGACUCCUGGAGAUUUGGAUAUAUGUGAAUAUAAUUUUAGAAGCUUAUCAUUUACCUAUGGUAGAAACAUAGUGGUCAAGUAUUACUUGGAAAUGGAUAUUCUGACCUAACUAUGAAAUGGCUAAAGGUAAGAUCACUAGUGGAAGUUAUUUCUAUGAUUUAUCAAUAUGCACAUAUAUUUAGAAUAAACAGCAAAUAACUAAGAACUAAAUAGUAGAGGACCGUUUAAGACAGUUAUUUUAUUGCAAUACAUCUGCCUUUGGUUGGAAAAGCUAAAAAAGUUCUUUCCAAGUGUAACAUUUACUUGUCGAGUUCAGUGUUAUAAUUACCCAAAAUAAAUGUUUCAAGUGAAAAUGUAGUCAUCCAAGACCAGGCCUCAUCUUUUGGAAAAAUUCCAAUUUCAUUAGGAAUAUGGAUGCUUCCAGGUAAAAUUGAGUGAGCUCACAUUAAUGGAAAAUGUAUUCCCACGCAUAGAAUUAGAUGCCAGAAAAAAGUAGUCAAUCUCUGCAGUGGGAGGCCUGCACACAUUGGCCUAAUGAUAAUGAUACUGAAAGGAUGAUUUAUCAACCAUUAACAUAAAGACUGGGUAGUCUCCACUUAAAUGAAGAAAAAGUCCCACCACCUGAAAAACCCCAGUGUGAUUUUUAAAUGUUAAUAUUUUCAAAUUAAACAAAAUUGAGAGGGUCUCUUUUCUCAAUACUCUCUAUUUUUGCCUGAUAACUCAAAAAUGUUAUCAGUGUGAAAUCUUUAUACCAAAUAAUGGGUUAUUUUACUUAUAAAAAACAUACUUAAGAUUAGCAGUUAUUCCUAAGUGCUGUCAUUUUGUUGUAACAACCUGUGCUACAUACUUUUGGAAAUUCUGGUGUUAAAAUAUCCACUCAGGCUGCUUUCAAAUACAAAUAAAAAGACCAGGUGCAGUGGCUCACUCCUGUAAUCCCAGCACUUUGGGAGGCCUAGGAGGGUGGAUCACUUGAGGCCAGGAGUUUGAGACCAGCCUGGCCAACAUUUAGUUGAGACCAACCCCGUCUCUACUAAAAAUAAAAAAUUUAAAAAAGAAAAUAGCCGGGCGUGGUGGUGGGCGCCUGUAAUCCCAGUUACUAAGGAGGCUGAGGCAAGACAAUCACUUGAACCCGGGUGGCAGAGGUUAUAGUGAGCUGAGAUCACACCACUGCACUCCAGCCUAGGUGACAGAGCAAGACUGUCUCAACAAAAACAAACAAACAAAAAAAAAAUGUAGCUUAUUAACUAUUGCAUAGACAAGGGCAUUGUUGAUCCAAAGAACAAUCUAAGAAAUGUCCAGGAUAUAGGUUAUUCCAAACACUAUCCGACAGAUUGGAUAGACAGUGUCAGUUGAAAAUACGUAUUAUAUAAUCAAAUUCUUUAAUUUCUUCCGAUUGUGAUUUUCAAUUUUUAAGAGAGAAAAUAUUUAUGGGAAAUGUUUAAUUUACAAAUUUUGCUGAGGUGUUUUUCAGUGUUUCAUGGUCUAUUACUUAUGACUUAAUGAUGGAAGUGCCAAAAUGUAAAAAUAAGAAAACAGUUAUGUAGAUUGUUUAAAUAAAUUGUUCAGUAAAUGCAAUAAAUUGAUCUCUAAUUCAUAUUCAAAAUCGCACGGUA
rnacentral:lncRNA from 1 species